UACGGGAGGCAGCAGUGGGGAAUAUUGCACAAUGGGCGCAAGCCUGAUGCAGCCAUGCCGCGUGUAUGAAGAAGGCCUUCGGGUUGUAAAGUACUUUCAGCGGGGAGGAAGGCGAUGCGGUUAAUAACCGCGUCGAUUGACGUUACCCGCAGAAGAAGCACCGGCUAACUCCGUGCCAGCAGCCGCGGUAAUACGGAGGGUGCAAGCGUUAAUCGGAAUUACUGGGCGUAAAGCGCACGCAGGCGGUCUGUUAAGUCAGAUGUGAAAUCCCCCGGGGCUUAACCUGGGAACUGCAUUUUGAAACUGGCAGGCUUGAGUCUGUAGAGGGGGUAGAAUUCCAGGUGUAGCGGUGAAAUGCGUAGAGAUCUGGAGGAAUACCGGUGGCGAAGGCGGCCCCUGGGACAAAGCUGACGCUCAGGUGCGAAAGCGUGGGGAGCAAACAGGAUUAGAUACCCGU
rnacentral:rRNA from 1 species